AAGAAAGUAUGGAACUAUGGUGAGCACUGCUAACGCUCACCCCCGCGGUUAAACUCCGCGGCUUUCUUG
rnacentral:tRNA from 1 species